UAAUGUCAAUGUUGUUUUAUUUUCUGAUCUUUUCAGUAUUUCAUUCCAUCCUGUCAUUCUGUGUUUGCAUUUAAAGCAUCUUUGAGUAUCAUGUAAAGCACUCUACAAAUAAAAUAUAAAUAUUAUUAUUUGUGGUUGUCUUUGAACCUUUCCUGUUAAAACAUUAUAACACUUUUCUAAUAUAUAUUUCAUAGCAUAGAAGCAGGGCACAGAACAAUAAGAGACAAAGAGGAAUAAAAAGCUGAUCCAAAUUCCUUUGAUGUGGCAUUGUCUCAUUCAGAUGAAGAAAGAGUUGUGGUAAUUUGCACUGUGGAUGUGGCUGCUGAAACCAAUACUGAUUUCUUUGCUUUGCUAAUUAUUAAUUACCCAUCUCCAUGCAUAUGUGUUUAUUCCUAAUUGUAUUUGAUGGAUGAGUGGCAGCUUUGACACCUCAUUAGACCAGAUUAAUUGAACGACACAAUAUUUAUGUCUCGCCAAUGACCAGUUAUCCUACCAUCUAUCAUUGCGAUGAUCUCGCUGAUUGAAAACCACUGAUCCGUGUAAUCCUAAUUAUUUUGAAUUAGAAAAGAAUUUAUGGCUUCUUGUGGCGUUUUUCUGUGAUGAUGGCAAAUUGGAAACAUUAAAUGCAUAACGAGGGGGAAAAUGAGAGGAAGGCACAAUUAUAGAAUUAAUGUGGGUGAAUGUCGGAGAAGGGGGAAGGGUGCAGGAAACAAAUAUGAGGUGGAGACCUUACAGACCACAGUAUAACUGCACAGCCUUAAACACAGACAUAUUUUCGUCAGCUUCUGGCACAACAUUUGUCUCUUUCUCUUAAUUCUGUAAGGUAAAGCCCACAGGAUGCUAUUUUACUUUUGACAAAACCUCUGUAUUCUCCAACAACUCCCCAUCCUCUCUCUUACGAACAUGCUUCCGUGGAAUAUCUCGAUCCAUACUUGUGUCUUUUAUUAAAAAGUUAGCUGAGAGAAAACACUUCUACUGAACUUCACAUAACCCUCCUCUAACUUCUGCAAAGCUCAGUUCCUCCUGGGAGGAGCAUAAACUAAAAUCCAGCAUUUGAGCUCACAAAGGCGCAACAAGGCCCUGAAGAGUGGAGCUUUUACUAUCAUACGGUAUAAGAAUGCCUUGAGGAGCAGACUUCUUUCCCAGCUGCCAGUUUAGAAUGAACUUGAGAUGAAGGUAUCGAUCCCGUUCCUGGACGUCAACGACACAACCUGGCUUUCGCUUUAAAGGUGACUCCGUCCAGAUCCUCCACGUCAACGAACCGGGAAAAGAUUCAACUCGUAUGAGUGAGCCAUUUAAAGUUCGAGCUGUGAGGUCCGAGCACCAACUACUCUCCUUCUUCAUGUGAGUCCAGCUCUCUCAAUCAAGACAUCGCAGCCCUGCCACCAUCCUCUGAUUAACUCUGCUGCUCUUGUAGUUUUGUUUUAACGCUCCUUGGUGAAAUGAGAAAUUAAGAGGCAAGAGAUAGAGGCUAAUAGCAUUUAUUAACCCAGCGUGAGCUUGCAGCGGUCCUCCACAGCCUGCUCCAGUUUCUGGUGGCUUCACUGUAAGGUAAAGCCCGGCAGUAAGAGAGGGACAGAGGGGGAGGUGGAACGUAACAAAACCCCAACAAAUGCACCCAGCUGAUUAAUGGAGCCCUGUGGCUAUAGCAAUUAUCCCUCUCCACAGUCCUCCAGCAGACGAGCCAAACAAGUGUGUGGCAGUGAGAGCAAAGAGGGCGCCACAAUGGGUUACCAGGCUUCUGCAGAGCGGAGAGACAUGCUGAUGAGGGAGUUCAGCCAUUUGAUUCAGGUGUGUUGAAGAACAGAUGCAUCUAAAAGUUGCAGGACAGUAGCCCUCGAGGAAUGGACUUGGGCACCCCUGGUCUCUAGCCGAGCUGCAACUUUCCCAGUUAAAAUCCCAGCAUCAGGGUGCAUUUGUGAUUGAACUUGGAAGACUCACCUCUACUUACGGUUCUGUCUAACUACUCCACUUGGUUCUCCGCUCAAACCAAUCAGCUUCUGAUCUGCAUUCCUCUUCAGCCAAUCAUCCCUCAAGGCUUCGCUUUAAAACACCUUCAUAUGCAGAAUCUCCUGCUCUUCAGCUGAGCUUCGACCCUCCUCCACCCCAUCUCCACCAUCAGGCUUCAAGCUUCUUCCGACUUCCUUAUCUCCUCAGACCUCCACUCCACCACCAGUCUCAGGAUCCCGGGGGGAAGACUUCUCUAAUUCUAACCCUAAGAUGUUCAUUCAAGCAGGGUCCGAGCGCCAAAAGGAAACAAACAUCAGCUAAUAAACUUCUCUAACUGACAUCUCCAUGUUUCUCUCAUUUUUGAGUCUUUUCAGGUUGAAUUGUUUUUUGACAGGGAACUCUUGUGUAUUUUGGCUCUGAACCCUGGUCUAUUGUGGGCUACAACGUUUGCCAGUACCAGAAGU